UACGUAGGGUGCAGGCGUUAAUCGGAAUUACUGGGCGUAAAGCGUGCGCAGGCGGUUUGCUAAGACAGGUGUGAAAUCCCCCGGGCUUAACCUGGGAACUGCGCUUGUUACUGGCAGGCUUGAGUGUGGCAGAGGGGGGUGGAAUUCCACGUGUAGCAGUGAAAUGCGUAGAGAUCAGGAGGAACACCCGUGGCGAAGGCGGCCCUCUGGCUCGACCCUGACGCUGAGAGGCGAAAGCGUGGGGAGCGAACGGG
rnacentral:rRNA from 1 species